UACGUAGGGUGCGAGCGUUAAUCGGAAUUACUGGGCGUAAAGGGCGCGUAGGCGGCCUACUAAGUCGAACGUGAAAUCCCCGGGCUCAACCCGGGAACUGCGUCCGAUACUGGUUGGCUUGAAUCCGGGAGAGGGAUGCGGAAUUCCAGGUGUAGCGGUGAAAUGCGUAGAUAUCAAGAGGAACACCUGAGGUGAAGACGGGUUGCUGGGCUGACACUGACGCUGAGGCGCGAAAGCCAGGGGAGCAAACGGG
rnacentral:rRNA from 1 species